rnacentral:rRNA from 1 species
CUUAGAAACAAUAGCUACAGGGGUACACCCAGCAACAUUCCGAACCUGGAAGUUAAGCCUGUAAACGCUGAAAGUACUUGGGGGGCAGCCCUCUGGGAGGAUAGGAAGUUUCUAAGC